rnacentral:lncRNA from 1 species
CAAGACGCGACCAGAGAGCCACCGGGGCCCGCUCGCGCGCCUCUGAGAGGCUGUCCGCGCGCGCGCGUGUGUGCGUGAGUGUGGAUUUGCCGGGACUGGAGCUGGAAAGUUCAAACUAAACGUGUUGCUCUCGCCGAGUGCCGAGGCCGCGGCGGAGGCUGCCCAACUUCCCCGGGCCAAGUGAGUGGCGUUGCCCAGCGCCUUUGGCGAGGCGGCGGCCGCUCGGCCCUGCGCCCGGCCGCGGCGGCGGCGGCUCCGCUCGCCCCGGGAGGGAGCCCGCGGCCAGGGCUGGACUCUCGCCCCGCCACCUCCACCGACUCUCUCCUCAGCCUCCGCGCCUGGCACCGCAGCAAGACUUGAAUGAAGUGAUCAUGUAAACUAGAGAAAGGAGAUUAAAAAUAACCUCUGGAUAUUCCUCUCAUGUGAUCUUUAUUCUGGAUGAAGCAUUAGGACAGCUAAUAGCCGUGUGUCACUGCAAUUUGCUGCCAGAAGUGUGUUUUCCUUUUUAAAAGGCAGUAACUUCAAGGUGUUGUGGUGGAUGUAGAUUUUUGCUGCAAGGAAAUAACAGCUGGUGAUGGAAUUUCAUUCUUUUGACUUCUAGAUUGCCUGUGAAGAGCUGCUUCCUCGGAAGAGCACCCUAAGGCUGGGUGGCCACUAUCCUUUGCCUUGGCAGAGCCAGCCAGAAGGCCUAGGCACAACCCGCUGUGUUUGCUGACAGCCAACCUACCCUGGAGUUCCGGAGCGGCUUCCUAGGAAGUCUGGGGAGCGGUAGAAAAAUGGCUCUGCUGAGAUGAGCUCUUAAUUAAUGCACUGAGAGCCUGCAAGUCCCACCUCUCAACAGGAAUGAUUGACGUCCAAGGAUACAUAAAUUACACUAACUGAGCUCUGCCUCUAUAUAAGCUUUCCACAUCCAACUCAUCAGAGAAGCUAGGCUUGUACCAUAACCAAUACCCCUGCUUGGCAACUCUAAUGAGCAAACUGCCGCAAAAUUGAGAGAGAACACACCUUUUUGAUUUCCUGCUCUUCUAAGACACAGUGAUUUAGAAUUUCUGUUCAAGCAAGAGAACUAAAGACUUCUUUAAAGAAGAGAAGGCUUUUCUUUUUCUGGAAAAUCAGAUGAAUGAGGACAUUCGAAAGUAAAGAAUCUCUGCAUUUUGACUAGAGAGAAUUUUCUACCAGGAUGGGAUAGAAUGAUCACAAUGGAUUAUAGAGUGUGUAUGGUGUGGUGUGGUAUGUGUGUGUGAGUGCACACACACGUGCUUUCCCCAGUUUGGAAGUGAUUUGUUG